GUGGGGAAUAUUGGACAAUGGGCGAAAGCCUGAUCCAGCCAUGCCGCGUGUGUGAAGAAGGUCUUCGGAUUGUAAAGCACUUUAAGUUGGGAGGAAGGGCAUUAACCUAAUACGUUAGUGUUUUGACGUUACCGACAGAAUAAGCACCGGCUAACUUCGUGCCAGCAGCCGCGGUAAUACGAAGGGUGCAAGCGUUAAUCGGAAUUACUGGGCGUAAAGCGCGCGUAGGUGGUUCAGUAAGUUGGAUGUGAAAUCCCCGGGCUCAACCUGGGAACUGCAUCCAAAACUGCUGAGCUAGAGUACGGUAGAGGGUGGUGGAAUUUCCUGUGUAGCGGUGAAUUGCGUAGAUAUAGGAAGGAACACCAGUGGCGAAGGCGACCACCUGGACUGAUACUGACACUGAGGUGCGAAAGCGUGGGGAGCAAACAGGAUUAGAUACCCCAGUAGUCC
rnacentral:rRNA from 1 species